CUUUUCGGAUGGUAACGCUGCAUAUGUGUUGAGCAUUUAUAUUACAAAAGAAACAUUUUUUUAACAACUUCUCAUCCCAUUUCCCCAUUAAACAUCCUCGUUUUAUUUUCAUUCAUAUUUUAUAGCUGCUCAUUGGGUGUUUAAUCACAAGAAAGUUACAACACUACUUAUAAACAACGUAAUACUGCUAAUGGCCUCCUUUACCACCUCCCAUGUUAUUGUAAAUUUGCAAUAAAUAAAUAAAGGCGAGUCGAGACCAACAGCACACACACAGGAAGGAGAAAGGAAAGGAAAGAAAGGAAAAUGAAAUAGGGAGUCAGGGACGAGGUCGUAGUAUUGUUGUUCAAGAGUAUGAAUGGUUUAUACAUCCUACAUGCGGCAACAACCCACUGUUUUCUUUGGGUUAAGAGAGAAUUACCUAAUGCACUGUACAUUGCAUUUGAAUAUUCUGUUUUUAUUAAAUGCAAACGCAAACAUGAAUUGCA